UACAGAGGGUGCGAGCGUUGUUCGGAAUUAUUGGGCGUAAAGGGCGCGUAGGCGGUUCGUUAAGUCACCUGUGAAAUCUCCUGGCUCAACUUGGAGCUUGCAGGCGAAACUGCCGUGCUGGAGUGUGGGAGAGGUGCGUGGAAUUCCUGGUGUAGCGGUGAAAUGCGUAGAUAUCAGGAGGAACACCUGUGGCGAAAGCGGCGCACUGGACCACAACUGACGCUGAGGCGCGAAAGCUAGGGGAGCAAACAGG
rnacentral:rRNA from 1 species